rnacentral:rRNA from 1 species
CCUACGGGAGGCAGCUGUGAGGAAUAUUGGUCAAUGGUCGGGCGACUGAACCAGCCAAGCCGCGUGAGGGAUGAAGGUACAGAGUAUCGUAAACCUCUUUUGUCAGGGAACACAGUCGGGGACGCGUCCCCGGAUGAGUGUACCUGAAGAAAAAGCAUCGGCUAACUCCGUGCCAUCAGCCGCGGUAAUACGGAGGAUGCGAGCGUUCUCCGGAUUUGUGGGGAUUAACGGUUGCGCAGGCGGUCUGUUAAGUCAGCGGUCAAAGCCCGGGGCUCAACCCCGGCCCGCCGUUGAAACUGUCAGUCGCGAGUUGGAGAGAAGUAUGCGGAAGGCGCGGUGUAGCGGUGAAAUGCAUAGAUAUCGCGCAGAACUCCGAGUGCGAAGGCAGCAUGCCGGCUCCACACUGACGCUGAGGCACGAAAGCGUGGGUAUCGAACAGGAUUAGAUACCCGGGUAGUC